rnacentral:rRNA from 1 species
CCUACGGGGCGCACCAGUAGGGAAUCUUCGGCAAUGGACGAAAGUCUGACCGAGCAACGCCGCGUGAGUGAAGAAGGUUUUCGGAUCGUAAAACUCUGUUGUUAGAGAAGAACAAGGACGUUAGUAACUGAACGUCCCCUGACGGUAUCUAACCAGAAAGCCACGGCUAACUACGUGCCAGCAGCCGCGGUAAUACGUAGGUGGCAAGCGUUGUCCGGAUUUAUUGGGCGUAAAGCGAGCGCAGGCGGUUUCUUAAGUCUGAUGUGAAAGCCCCCGGCUCAACCGGGGAGGGUCAUUGGAAACUGGGAGACUUGAGUGCAGAAGAGGAGAGUGGAAUUCCACGUGUAGCGGUGAAAUGCGUAGAGAUGUGGAGGAGCACCAGUGGCGAAGGCGGCUCUCUGGUCUGUAACUGACGCUGAGGCGCGAAAGCGUGGGGAGCAAACAGGAUUAGAUACCCCGGUAGUC